rfam:Neotoma lepida isolate 417 scaffold_334, whole genome shotgun sequence.
UAGGGGAAGUCAGGGUUUGGCCCCCCUCCCCGAACCCAGGAUAACCCUGAAAGUAGAGGGGAA